rnacentral:snRNA from 2 species
AUACCUUUCUCGGCCUUUUGGCUAAGAUCAAGUGUAGUAUCUGUUCUUAUCAGUUUAAUAUCUGAUAUGUGGGCCAUGUGCCCACUUCGAUAUUAAAUUUAUUUUUUGUGGGGGAGGGCCCACCACAGUGGCUUGCCACUGGGGCCAUCGCGCGUCGCCCAGGCGUUGCACUGCUGCCCGGGCCUGGCGCACCCCAA